rnacentral:rRNA from 1 species
CAUUAGAGUGUUCAUGCGGGCAGAUAUUUUUCCUGCGCCGAGUACAUUAGCAUGGGAUAAUGAAUAGGACCCUGACCUCCUAUUUUCAGUUGGUUUUGUUUAUACAGCGAGGUUCAUCAGGGUAAUGAUUAAUAGGGAUAGUUGGGGGCAUUAAUAUUUAAUUGUCAGAGGUGAAAUUCUUGGAUUUAUGAAAGAUUAACUUCUGCGAAAGCGUUUGCCAAGGAUGUUUUCAUUAAUCAAGAACGAAAGUUAGGGGAUCGAAGACGAUCAGAUACCGUCGUAGUCUUAACCAUAAACGAUGCCGACCAGCGAUUAGGAGACGUUGAAUACAAAACACCGCUGUUAAUCCUUUCGGGGAUUAAUAGUUGGUGAAUGACUCCCCUAGAAGCUUGUGAGA